GAAAUUUAGUUGCUCCAGCUGUACAUAUGUAAACCCAGUAUAAAUAAGUCUAGGGGGGAGUUCACCAAUUUCUGACAUCUUUCAGCAGUGUGGAGACGGCUCAGGAAACACAUGCCUUCCAAGGGGCUAAAACCUUGAUAAGACAAGGAGUCCAGGGACAAAUGACUGAACAAUAUGGACCUCUGCUCAGUGUACUUCUAGUCUCAGAUAUAUAGUAUCUGGCGCCCCAGGGUCUGAUGGGUAUUUCCAUCACAGAGAGAGGAGGAUAAAAAGAAAACGCUCGACAUGGAAACUCCCAGCAAAUCCUGGAAAUGAAACAAAUAACCCGCAGCCAGAACAGGAAAUUAUCCAGCAGGGAGAGUAACAAAGCAGCCUCCUCCAAUGAAGAACGAAUAGGAGGUCAUACCAUAGACAUCAGUGGAGGCUGCGGAAGGAAGAACGGCUCAUAAUAAUGGCUGGAACGGAGCAAAUGGAAUGGCACCAAACCAUGUGUUUAAUGUAUUUGAUACCAUUCCACUCAUUCCACUCCAGCCAUUACCACGAGCGUGUCCUCCCCAAUUAAGAUGCCACCAACCUCCUGUGAUAGACAUAGGCGGAGUUCCCUUCAGGACUUAGUCACCGCAUUGACACUCAUUGGGAGGUGUUCUGGAUUUCAGUGGUGCGUUUGUUGGAUCACUUGUCAAGUUAAAAUAACUUAGGUGGUAAGGGAAAGUUGGAAAUGUGGGAUCAAUAGGUUUUCUCAAUAGGAUCAAAAAGCAGGGAUGUGUAUCUAUCCAAGCCCCUAUGAAUUCCAUCUGAAUUACUGUAUCGCUCCAAGAGUGUCCAAGAGUGUGACUCAUCUUGGAAUUGGUUGACCUUUAGAGCAGGGUUCCCCAACUGGUGGCUCACAAUAAUGGUUGGAAAGGAGCGAAUGGAAUUAAGGUGCCACCAACCUCCUGUGAUACAGCUGAAGCAAGCACACAACUUUUCUUCAGAGCAGAGGAAAAGAAAAGGCCUAUCUCAAGGAGACAGACUAGCCAUAUCUCCAUUAGACACACAGCAUCUGGAAGUGAGCCCCUCUGGAAAACCACCUCUUUGAGGAAGUCCCAAAUGGCACCCUGUUGCCUAUAUAGUGCACUAAUUUUGACCAAGACUCAUUACAAGAAGUGCACUAUAAAGGGAUAGGGUUUCUUUUGGACAGAGGUGUAAAGUAACUAAUUACAGCUACUCUUGUUACUGUAAUUGACUAGCUUUUCCGAGUACUUAUACUUUGAGUAUUUUUGAAAGUCAGUAAUUUUACUUAUACUUGAGGAAAAUUGAAUUAUAGUAACAGUACUUCUAGUUGAGUAGGAUAUUUCACUGCUCUUAAAAGAUACAUUUUGUGAGUGAGGGACUGAGUGAGUGAAGGAAAGAGUGUGAAUGGGGGAGUGAGUGAAUAUCAGCCGGUCCCCUGGACAAGUAACAAGUAACAGAGGGGGGAAUGAGGGAUUGAAUAAGUGAAAGAAUUAGACAUGUUUAUUUAUGGAGUCUGUAUGUAGAAGUACUGUAUAUAGAAGUCUGGCAACUUUGUUUAUUAACUUUAUUUUGUAUAUAUUUUUUUACCAAUACAUCUUCAUUUACUUGAAUGUUUAAGUUGACAAAUGUUAAUAGUAUAUUUUUGACAAAUCCUUCGUUUUCACAUGUAGAUGUGCCUUGCUGCAACUCAUAAAAUAAAUAAAAC
rnacentral:lncRNA from 1 species